UUUUUAGUGUAAGUAUGUCUCAUGAAAUAUUUGGGACACACUUAUACUUAAA
rnacentral:pre_miRNA from 2 species